rnacentral:lncRNA from 1 species
UCAUCAACUGGUGGCUGGUUUGUUAUCUCUAUUGUUGAUGCAAAGUUCUGCACUGUUGGAACUGCUAUAGCUGAAUGCAUAGGAAGAUACAUUCCCAUUGCUUCAUCUUUAAAUAUUUCCUCCAAUUUUCCCCACACCUUCGUCCCCAUCUUUCAACCUACUACAAUUAAUACCAGGUGUAACUUUCUCUCCACCACCACCCUCAUCGUCAUUUCCAUUUGUUCCUCUCCCUUCAUUUCCCUUCCAACCCACACCUGGCUUCCUAUGAACUAGAGUGCGCCCAGCUGAUAUUUCUUCUCCAUCGAAGACGGCCUCUCCUUGAUUAUUCUGAAUCAACACCAUAUAUGUACAAUUUUCUCGUGUUCAGCUUUUUCAAUUAAUUGCAACCGUUUCGAUUGAGCCUCCACAAUUUCAAUUACUAACAAGAAAAGGGAAACUAUUGGUUAUAGUAUUUUUGGUUUUGUUUUUGAUUAAUCUAGUAAUCUCAGAUUUUAUUUUAGUUAAAUAGUAUAAAAUGGAAUUUUAAAUAUUUGUAAGGUAUUUAUCAGGGGCGGAUUCAGGGACGGGCAGACCAGUGCUACAACCCAUUCGUCCGCCCCAAAUCCACUUUCAAAAAAAAAAAAAAAAAAAAUUUUUCAAAAAUCUUUUUU